rnacentral:misc_RNA from 1 species
UCUGUCGUAUGUCUUCUUUUUUCUUGUCUUCGUAAUAGAAAGUUCGUUCGAGCACACGCGUUUUUAAGGGGAUAGUCUCUUUCUUCAUUUUUCCUCUCUUCUUUUCUUCCUUCUUCUCUUUUAAGCUCACGCAAACACUGUUUCUCCGAGGGUGUACAAAUCGUGCGAGCUUACAGAUUGUAGAGAUCCUUUAUGAUAUUCUUAGUCUUCUUCUUCGCUUUCUUCCGCCGGUCCGUACAUGUCGGCUAGCUUGUCGAAUCUCGGUCCCCAAGCACCUAAGUACUCGUACUCGUGCUGCUCAAGUACUUACCGGAGGCUAACGAUGACAAUGAACCUGCGAUGCUUCCGCCACCCUCGUAUGCAUAAUUUCGUAGAUCAUCGAACGGUGGUGCGUUUGGAUCACUGUCAGCUCUCUUUUUGUGGUCUUCUAUAAAGAUGCCCACGUUUGGUUCUGGUCCUAGUGUGUCU